rnacentral:ncRNA from 1 species
AUUGGUAUGAAUGAAAAGGGAAUCUGGUGAGAAUCCAGAACGAAGCCGUCACUGUGUCAGGGAGUUUGUAUUCAGGUCACUGAGUGUUUACUUGGGAAGAGAAUACAAAUGAUGAUCGAAGUCAGGAGACCUGCCUAUUCUUAA